CAGGAGUUAGCGACAGGGAGGGCUGGCGCCUGGGCCUAGUGGUGGGCGGAAGUGGCUAGUUCAGGGCACAGCUGGGGGAGAUAAUGGUGUUAGAUCGGGGUGGGGGACGGCCGGAAGGAGGGCUGGAGAGGAGGCUAGGUUUGGGGAGGAUUGUCAGUUUGGGGAGGAUUGUCAGGGGAAAGGCUGCCUUCACAGGGACAGUAGCAGCGCGCACUCCAGGCUGUCCUCACUGCCUGCUGGACGGGGAGUACUUGACCUUUAGGACCGCAUGGCCCUUACCUGGGCCUCGCUGGGCCCGGUGUCCUUGGCAUAUGUGACCAGAGGAAGGCAGGCGGAAGCGGGAAGAGAGGUGGAUGUAGAUGGAAACAGGGCCAUGGAAGCGAACGUGGCAUGCAGACAGUGGGUGCAGGUGGGCAGGGAGGCAGAUUUUGAACUUGUCAAUACCAGCAGCCCCCUUUUUUUUCCAGAAAAGGGGUUGUGAACCUGCCUGGGGAUGAGGCCUGGUCUUGUGGAAGCUGGACUUAGCUUCGCUAGGGUGGCAGCUCCGGCCCAGGGUGGUAUGUAAUUGGAUCUCGGCCUGGUGGAGCCCAGGUCUGGGAGUGAGGCGAGGCCUGGAUCGGAGGUGAGGGGUGGCCUUCCAAAGAAUGACUGGAGGCAGCGGGUCAUCCUUGCCUGUCACUCGUGUGCAUCUUAUGUGCCUGCCAGGCGGGGGCUGCUGAGGCAAGACUCAGUGUUUGGGAGCAACAUUGACCAACACUUUAUUUUCCAGAUGGCAGUCGCCCCCCUGGAGUUUGCCUAGGUUUGGUGUUAACUUCUCCUGUGAGCUCACUCUACUCUCUCCUCCUCCCUCUUAACUCUGAGGUUAUCCCUUCAUUUAAAACCCUUUUGGUCAUCUGGUAAGCCUGGGGUAGUCCCUGGAGUCACUGUUGGAGUCCAGGCGGUAUUGUUGGUAAAGAUGGAGGAGGAAUCGAACACCCUGCUGAGUUGACUCCAGUGUUCAUCGUGGCCGAGCAGAUGGCACCAGGAGAAAUGGAGCCCCUGCAGGUGUGAGUCGUAGCAGUACAGGAGGGGAGACCCUGAAGGAGACAGCCUGCUUAAAUUGAUGCCAGCAGAUUGAGUUCCAGAGGCUUAGGAAGAGGAGGAGGAAGUUCUCCAGUCCCUUGCCCAGGCCUUGCUCAGGAAGCCCUGUAUUCAGGAGGCCACCACUUAAGGUGUUGAUGAGCUUCUGGGGGGUGAUCCAAAAGUCCAAAACAGAUGCAUCCGGCUUGAGGGGCCAUCAGCUUUGAGUGAAUGUUUAUUCCGGGAGCAACAUUCUCCAGGCACCCUUCCUUUCCUGGGAGUAGAGGUUUUCAGAUGCUGCAUCUUCUAAGUCCAGCCUGCGCUCAUUCUAGUAUGAACUGUGUGUGCUUCAUGAAGAUUCUUAAGCUGUAGAACACUUAAAUGUUGAUGCCACAACGCAGAAUGAUACCCUGUAGAUGGUGUUGCAAUUGGAGCCUCGUGGCCUCUCACCUUCCCACCAAGCUGCCUGCCGUGCACUGGCUGGAGGAGUUCUUAGUGUGAUGAUAGAACUUUGGGGUGUUGGAAAGCUGUGUAGUUUUUAAAUGCCUUAGGCAUUUAGAGUGUGGGGGAAUGGGUGGGGGCAUCACACAUUGCUCUGGGUCUGGGAGGGUACAAGAUCAUGUUCACGUUCUGUGUGUUGGAGCUGGCAGGUCUAGCUUGGGCAUUCCGGUGACAUCAUAGAUGACUAAAAAGGGAAUGGUGGGUGGACAUACCUGGGUUUUUGUUGGUGGUGCUGAGGAUGGAUCACAGGCUUCUUGCAUGCUAGGCAAGUGUUCUGCUGAGCCUAGCCCACAUUUUUUACCCUUUUCUUUUUUCUGGACAGUGUAUUGCUAUGUAGCUCAAGCUGACCUCAGAUGUGAUCCUCAUGCCUCCCUUUUUUUUUUUAAACUUAAAUUUUACUGGGUCAGAGUGCUCUUGGCAUUCAGUACGGGAGUUGUGGGCGGGGGAGGGCUCAGCUCCUCACUGCUGUUGGGAGGGAUGGAGGUAAAGAAGGUGGGCGAGGGGUGCAGCUCAAAAGGGUUUGGGGGUACCACGGAUGUGGGUUAAAGGGAAUGCACUGGAGGGGAAAAACAGUGCAGAACUCAUGAAUGAAGAAAAUAAUAGAAGUAAUAAUAGAAAAUUGUUAACUCUGGUUAAAUUGUUGCCUGGAAGAGAUGAAAGUGGCUUCUAAACUUUGUAAAAAUGCUUAGGACCUUAAAUUUAAGGGAAAAAGCAAAAUUGUUUUGCUUUGUUGUAAAGUGAGAAGAUUGUAAACUGAAAAUCUAAAUAUUACUCAUUGGAAAGAUGGUGUCAAACUCGAAUCCACAUGAUUUAACAACUGAUGUGAGUCCUUAGCUGCUUUGCUUAGGAAGGUGUGAUUUUUCAAGAACAGUAAGCUCUGGGAAAGACUUCUAAAUGCCUAAAUCAUGGGCUUUCAGUGUUUAAGUGUGCACUUGAGAUUAGAUGGACUUUUCUGGGUUUGUGAUUCAUAUUCUGUCACUGAGAUAUUUUGUGGUUGAAAAUUCUGAGCAAAGUGGCAAUGCUAUGAUUUCUAAAGAAAUUUCCUGUGUAAAUCCUGCCUUAUAAAACGCAGCUGCCUUUUCUGUGAUUGGUAAUUAUAACUGCAGAAGUUUGGCUGGUAUACUAAUCUUUCAAAUCAGUCAUUGUAACAAAGAGAAUCAAAUAGCCUUUUGUGGUGAUUGUGAAAUUUGAUUGCAAACAGAAUCUUUGUACAUUUGCUAAAUUGAGACUGAGUAAUCCAUUGUAUUUUUAAUUUGAAUGGUUGUGCUUUUUAAAUAACUAGAGGAAAACUGUCCUUCAAUCAGUUUGGGAAAUAAGAGCAAAACUGGAGAGAGGGGGGCUCCAUUACUGUGUGUUCUGUAAAUACUGAGUCUGAACCUGCCGGUUUCUGGGCUGCAUCUCUUGGGUUGGUUAAGUAAUACCAGUGGCUUUUUAUUAUGUCUCUUCCCUUUAAAUUGCAUGUAAAAAAAAUUAAUCCCCCAGUACUCUUUAUCCUUGGGAUUUUUCUGUCUUCUAGGUUCCUUUUAAAUGCCAAAGUAUGUUGGUGUGGUACUUAAUUCUUACCCAGUAACUUGGGAAUGAUACAAUUACUGCCAGUGGAACUUAAAGCGUACUUUAGGUGUAGUUGUGCUUUUAUGGGAAAAUAAAUACUUUGCGGUGUGCUGGUGCAGAAUCGAAGCUGAAGGCAGGUGGUCAGAGUACCCAUUUGUUGCUCUGUAAGGCAAGAACUGGCCUGCUGCAUCUUGUACGUAAUACUAAUUUUUCUUCUCCUUUACAGGACAAAUAAAGGUUUGAGUUCUAAGCUCUGUAACUGUUGUUUUGCUAUGUUAUGUUUCUGGACUCCUGUUGUAUCUUCAUAAUGAAGUCGCAUGUAUCUUUAUUUUGUAGAGAAUUCACUAAGCAAUCACGGCUGUUGUUAGAGCCGGGAACCUUUAUUCAUAUAGAACUGGUGUCCCCUGACUGGCUUGCCAAUGGCGGGUGGGGUGGCACUGCUCACUGAUGGGAGUUGGUGGUAGUGUAGAACGUGAGACUGAAUCCAGUGGCUAGUGUAGUGGGGGGAGUACUUUGACCAUAAUAUUCUAGAACAUUACCUGGUUAUUUCCAAAUGAUUUGGGGAAAACAGUCAAGAACAGAAUGGACGCAUGAGGUGUUUUUCUUAUUUGCGGUCUUUGGGAUUAUGCCAUGGGCCUGGGAUUUGGGUAUAAGCAAGUAGUUUUUAUCUUACUGAAGAGUUAGGCUUCAUUUUUCUUUUGUACGUGACUGAAGAGUUUGGGCUUCCUUGUGGAAAUUCUCUAUUAAGCAAGGGAAGGCUGUGUCAGGAUGUAGGUGGGAGCACUUGGAAUCCAGAGUGCAUCACUGAUCUGAGUCCUGGGGGUGAGGCGGGGGAAGCAGCAGCAGUGAUUCAUCCUGGGAGCUGAUCUGUACUUGACUCUAUGGCUGUGGCACCAGUGACUAAGGUGUUGCUUCACCUGAGACAGAUUCUGGGCUCAGAAUAGAAGCACUGCCGGCCUCUGAUAAGAAUGGAGACCUUUGUUUGAAAGGGAGCAGAGAAGGGAGGCUUGUGGCUCUGCUGCUUGCCUGGCAAGGGGAGAUGAAUCCUAAACUGGAACAGACACUGGGGACCAAAGCAAAGGGCAGAGAGUGCGGGCUGACAUCUGACAGCUGUGGGACUGACUGUUGUCCAGAUCCUGAGUGUCUUAUUUGCUUCCCUGGUUGUCCCUUGGUGAUCCCUCACCUAUCUGCUAACUAUAGAGGUAUGCACUGGGAAGAGAAAGACAGCACGCAGUCCAGCAAGCCUUCUGUCUCAGCUCUGGCACUGCCAAGGGCAAACCCUGCUGUGUGCAGGUCACUCCUUUCCGGGACUCUUUUCCUAUCACCCCUCUUCUUGGCUUCUUUCUCCUACACCUCUCCAUCUACUUAGUCCUCUUUUCAGAACUCGUUUGUUAUACAAUGAUUACAAAACCUUGCUUCCAACCCUCACCUCUGUGUAAAUGGUACCCUUGUUUCCUAGCCACUGCAUAGCUGAAAAGGAAUUUGCCAUAGGGGUUGAAGUAUUUGGUACUGGAAAGUGGCUGUGGAGUGGGGCUUCCUAAUAGGGGAGCAGAGAGAUGAGGCUGGUGGCUGAAGUCUGAGCUGCCCUCCCUGAGGGAACGCUGUUAUCCUCGGGCCAACAGGAUGGGUCUGGGGUUGAUGGCAGGAUGGUCACUAGUCAGCAUGCUCAUGCAUAGGUCUGAAUUCAGUCUUCCCUGAACCCCCAAGACAGUGGACAGUCUACUGGAGUCCAGUGAAUGGGCUUAUGGUGAUCUUGUGCAAAUUAAAAGUAAUGGGGGGUAAGAAUAGCAGAAGUUGAAUUUGGAGUUCUUUUAAAAUGAAAACCCGAGAGCAGGUAUUGGUUGAGAUUCCUGUGUGCCUGGGAUGGAGUAACUAAGAAGUUUGGAUAUGGCCUGUGUAACAAGAAGGGGAUUGACAGAAACUGCCCCCCUGUCCUGUCAGCUGCCUUCAGUGAGUCUUACUGAUGGUGACCCCCAGGGGACUGCAAGGACCUUCACUGCCAGGCUAACCUCUUUGUGUGUAGCUAAGUCUCUCGAAGGAAGCAUUAACCACUGGCCUUGCAUGAUACUUGUGGUUUUGUGCUGGUAUUGAAGGAAGAAAUGCUAAAACGGGCUUACAGAUGUUUGUGGUACAUUUUAAGAUUUCAUAUUCAACCUUCAAAUAUGUGGUUGCAGACUGCGAAUGACAAGGGGAAGAUAGCAAAUGACUAAAAGUAAGAAAGGUAUGAAGGUGUGUGUCCCAAAGAGUGUGGUCUUGAUCUUCCUCUGAGUAGGGGGUAUCACCCUCUGCUUAGGAUGGCUGCCUCCUGUGCCUGCUGGAGGCCUCUAGCCUCUGCCCUCCAUCCUCUGUCCCUUCUUUCUCAUUAUUUUUUGUUUGUAUUAAUGUAUAUUGUUUAAAGGAGUUCUGUUGUGAUGUGUCCAUAAUGCACAUAGUGUGUUUUGAUCAAAUUCACCCCCUCCAUUACUCUCAUUCCUCUACACCCUUUCCCUCACUUUUAAAUAACUGGUCAUCGAAUCAUACAAAGAGUUUACUGUAAAGUUUCCAAAAAAAAAAACAGCAAGUUGAAAAAAAGUCCUCAGUAAUCUUCCAUUAACAAGUGUUAUUGACUUAUUUGCUUCUGGAAUUUUCUUUCUUUUCCUAUGCAUUGGCUAUAUGCAUCUUUACACAAAAAUGGGAUUAUACUUAAAUUCUGUGUUGCAGUUCUUUUUCCUUAAUAUAUAGUGAGCGUGUCAUUUGAGCAUCUUUUUUAGUGGUUACAUAAUGAGCUUUGACAUGACUAUAUUAACUUAAACCAUCUCACUUAGGUGAACAUUUCUUUUCCUCUUAGGAAAUAACAUGUUGAUGACCUUCCUUGUAGCCCAAACUGUAUCACAUCUGUUGCUAUUUUUUUGAGAUAAUGCAAAUACAUUUCUAGAAGGAAAUUACUAUGUCAAACUUCUUUAGGUUCAUAUUGUCAAGCUACCCUCCAGGGAGGGAUUUUCUAAAUUUGUCUUCUUAGUAUGAAUGAAAGUUGACCUCCCCUUUCCUCAGCAUGAUGGUUACAUGGAGCCCACUUUCCCUGUGGGUGUGAAUCUUGUUUUGCCUGCUGUUAAAAUUGAGCAUCUGUCAUACGUGUUGAUUGACCAUUUGCAGUGUGUAACUUUACACUCCCCUGCUUCUUAGUAUUUUAUUUUCUGUUGGUUCUUUUGUAAAAGCUAUCUACAUAUUAAGGAUAUUAAUAAUCUUUUGUUAUAUAUGAUGCAAGUAUUUUUCCAGUUUAUAGACUGCUUUUUGCUGCUUUUGGGUUUCGGACAUACAAAAGUUGUAUGUAAAUUUUUCUUAGUUAAAUCUCUACGGUUUCUGCACUUGGUGUUAGAUCUUUCCUGCCCUGAGUAUACAAAUGUUAAUAUUUUCUUGUGGCACUUGUAUGGUUUCACAUUUUCUCUUUUUUAUUAGUGUAUAUUAAUUGUACAAAGGGGUUUCAUUGGGAUAUUUCCAUACAUGCUUUGAUUAAACCCAUCCCCACUAUGGUUCCAUUUUUUUUUUUUUUAGUGGUUUCAUUUUCUAUAUUUAAACCUGGGCUCCAACUGGAGCUUUUUUGUGGAAGUUGUGUAUGUCGGAGGUGGGUCUUCUCUGUCAUUGGCCAGGAGGAGUAGCAGAGAGCCAAGAAUUGUUCUCACAGUGGGACAGCUCAUUGGAGAAGACUGGUGGGGUCUCCUGAAUGAGAUGCUGGUGCCUCAACUGGCUUAAUUCUGUUGCAGUAGAGCCAAGUUCUAGUCCUGACCCCACCACUUGGCACCUUUAUGAUUUGGAGUCAGUUUCUUAAGGUCACUCUGCCUGUUUGCCUCAUGUGUGAAGUGGGGGCAGUGAAUGCAUGUGUUCACAUGUGUUCAUGUGUGCUUCCCUCUCUUACUGUCUUAGUCCAAGCAUAUCAGGGUCAGCCAUUUUCCCCUACUUCCCUCUCCCCACUGUCUUGCACCUGCUUUGGACGUAAUAUUGUGUGAGAAUCUGUUCUGGUUUUUUUACAUUAACUGUGCUUCCACGAAUAAUUCCGUGUAUCAGCAGAACCCAUAAACAUCUUUGAAGUGUUUUUCCCCCCUCAGGUUUGUUAAUAUUUCCACAAGAAUGCUAUGAAUGGGCUUCUAGAAGUCUCUGACUGUGUACAUUUUUCUGUGGGAGGCAUAGUUUGCCCCAGUGUGUCAAAGAAGUCCGUGACUAAGCAACAUCGUAAAUGAGCAAUCAUAUCAUUUGUGUCAUUUUGUCCACUGUGCCUGUCCUGUGGUGUAUUUAGCCAGUCUCUUAUGUUGCUGGGUGUUGGCUGUUUGGAAUUGUGCUGUACGAGGGCUGGGAUGUAUCUCCAUGGUACAGCACUUGCCUAGCAUGGGUGAGGCCAUGGGUUCGAUCCCAGAACCAAAAAAAAAAAGAAUUGUGCUGCACGAGCAUCCCCAUAACUCUGGUGUGCAUGACUGUUCUCCAGAGCAGCAUCCCCUGGUCAGUGUGUGCACUAGUUUUAUAACUCUCCUGCCGUCCCCUUGGGAGUGGAUGAAAUAACUCAUCAGGUUAUUUCAGUUUUGCUUAUUGAUGGCUACUUUGAAUUCUCGUGGUCAAAUAUACACAGCAUGAAAUUUACUCUCAACCGUUUUAAGUGUACAGUUUAGCAGCAGUGAGUGUAUUCAUGUUCUUGUGCAAUCACUCUUCAGAGCUUUCUUGUCUUGCUAAAAUUGACUCUUUACCCUUAAACAACAUUAAACUCACGUGACAGUUUCUCCCCUCCCCAGUCCCUGGCAACCAUCAUUCUUUUUACUUUGUCUCUUGAGUUUGACUGCUCCAGGAUCUCGUACAAGUGCAGUCAUAUAGGAUUUGGGUCUUGACCAGCUUAUUUCACUUAGCACAAUGUCCUCAUGGUACACCUAGGUUGUAGUGUAUGCAGAAAUGUCUUCCCUUUUAUAAAAGAACUGAGUAAUUUAAGUAUGUAACAUUUUAUGUAUCCAUUGCUCCACUAAUGCACACUUGGGUUGCUUCCACCUUUUUGCGGUAUUGAGGACUGAACUGAACGUAGGACCUCAACCUUACUCACUUGAGCUACCCCUGACCCCAGUCCUUCUUCCACUUUUAGGUUGUUGCUAUGGACAUGGAUGUACAAAUAUAUUUUCAGCACCCUGUUUCAGUUCUUUUGAUCUAUAAGGUCCAUCUUGAUGGAGGUGAGGUGAUGUUUCAUUGUGGAUUUGAGGUGCAUUGCCCUAAUCAGCAUUUUUCCAUGUGUUUUCUGAACACAUUUAUAUCUUCUUGAAAAAUGUUUAUUCAAGUGCUUUGCCUAUUUUAAAACUUAGGGUUUUGUUAUUGUUGACUUAUAGGAUUUCUCUAUAUUUCUGGAUAUUAACUACUUAUCAGAUAUGUCAUUUGUUUUCUUUCUCUACAUAAAGUUGCUUUUUCUUUGUUCACUUUUUAGUUUUAAUGUAGUCUAAUUUACCUUAUUUUCUCUUUUGUUGCCUGUACUUUCAGUGACAUAUCCAAGAAAUUAUCACCAAAUUCAACAUUAUAAAGUUGUUAUUAUAAUUGUUUUAAUCUGCAAUUAUUGGUUAGUCUGAGUGUUUUAUCACUUGAUCUACCAUCUAUGUUUUUCCUCUUUGACCGUCUAACUUGAAAUUUCCAUAUUGACUUUUGUAAGGGUCAUGAGUUCUUUUUCUUUGAGCAAAAGAGCAGAGGUUUAUUAAGCAGAGUGGAAGAAAAGUCCUUGUACAGGAGGGGUCUCAGAAAGGCUGAGCCUCAGAAGUGACAUGGUCUGAAGUUUUUAUCCAUUUUCUCCAGGGCAUUGCUCAAGGGUCAUAAAUUCUUUGUAUAUGUGGGAAGGUAAGCUUUGACCAGUUAUGGGUGUUAAACUUAUUUUUCCUUUUUUUUAUUGUUGAUCUGAAAAGUAUAUACUCUAAAGGACUUAAGAUAGUCUAAUAAGUCUACUAAUAGCUAGUAAGUCUCUUGUACUUCUCAAUUUUUCUUUAGUAACUAGGCACAUGGUGUUUGCUCAGUUAUAAUACAUAUUAUUCGUUUAUCUUAAUUAUUUAUGCUGGUGGAAUAACAGUAAAUACUCUUUGCUCCAGGUUUGCCAAUAUUGGCCUUUCAUAAUUAUGUGUCUGAAUCUAUUUGUAGAAAUUUCAGGCUAUAGUUUUUGUUGUUUUCAGUAUAAUACAACAAAUCUUAAUGACUGUCAUUGUCAACUGUUUUAAUAUAAGUAUGAACUAUGAUACGCUCUAAGAAUAUUCUCCCUCCCCUGCUGGAGCUGAGUACACAGGAACUGGGUUAAUCUUAAUCUUUGUCUCAUUUAUUUGCUUCCAUUUAUUUGACUCUUUUAUUUGCUUCCUUGUUUAUUUUUAAUAACAUGACAUUUCUGAAUCACUCAUCAAUAUAAAAACAAGUACAGUAGCUUCCUUCAACCCAUGUGGUAUAUAUGUCCCCGCCCUGCCUCCCAGACUAAUGUCAUCAUCCUGGUUUCUGGGUUUAUCUUUCACUUGCUUUAAAAAAUAUCUUAACUAAAUGUGCUUUUCAAAAUAUAUAUAUGGUUGUUUUUAACUUUAUAGAAAAAUGUCAUUGCAUGCAAUCUUCUGAAAUGUUGAGAUUUAUCUGUCUUGCCUGGUGUGCAGUGAAUUAAUUGAUUCUCCCACUGAUGGUGACUGGGUUGCUUCUCUUCUGUGAAGUGUCAUUAGAGAAGUGAUACGUGAUGCUUUCCCAUUAUACAGAAUUAAAAUGUGUCUAAGAGGUUGACACUACAUGUCCCCUCCCUCUCCAGAGGUAACCAGUGUUACUUGUUUGCUGUGUUUCCUGCCAGACCUCUUUCUGUUCAUAUGUUCAUAUAUCCUUCUUGCAAGAGGUAUUGAAUUGUUUUUCUUUUCUGCAAGUGGUGAGACAGUAUUGCAUACUGCCUAUCACUGUUGGCUUGCUUUUUUCCAUUUAAGAAUAGGAAGAGUCAUGUGAGCAUUCAUUCUCAGUUUUUAAAAGCUUACUGCAUAGUAUUCCUUACCCUGACCAUACCAUGAUUUCUUUAGUGUACACUGGUGGAAAUUUACACUCUUUCUAAUCUUCUGGUUUUGUAAACACUGCUGUGUGAUCAUUUUCAUACACAACCCCUUGUGCUCAAUCAUGAGUGUUUCUCGGGGUAGGUACCAAAAUGUGGAUUUGCUGGGUCACAAGACAUGGGUCAGACAUUUUACUAUAUUCCGCCCUGUUGCCCUCCAGAAUGAAUAUAUAAAUAUGCAUAUUUGAGUAUGAGAGUAUCUGUUUUUUUCAUAUCUUCUUGUACACUUUUAAAAUUUCUGCUGGUUGCCUUCAGUGGUCUGUCCUGUAUGCACAGUGACCCACGGAGACUUUAAUUGGUGCAAUAGAUUCUUGUCAUCUGAGUGUGAAUUUAACAUUUGUGGACUUAAUGGUGGUAACCUAAAUAAUCUGUAAUUUUAUAAGAGCAUAUAAUUUUUAAAAUUUCUCAUGUCAUGAGGCUUUCAGGGACACCCACCCUAAUGCUAUGCAUCCAUGUCACACUGGCCUCAUUCUCUGCUUGUCCUUGCGACAAAGCGACUCUCUUGCAGAUUUAAGUCCAUGGCUAAUGUUUCUAUGGCAACUACUGUGGUAAUAGAUGGGACUGAGGAGUGUAUGCUCAUGGCACAAUUAUACAUUUCUAGUCUUGAAUUACAGAAAGCCCAACACCUGAUACCUAAUGCCCACCCCAUGAUAAGUGCUAAUGGCUUCAUUCUGUUCCUUCAGAUAUCUCCCCUCCGUGAAGUACUAAAGUUUAUCUUAUUAUUAUCGGUUCUAAAAUGAUAUCCUAUAAUGCAUACUAUUAUUUUUAUGGCUCUCUAGUAUUUAUUUAAACUCUUGUUGGCACAGAUAUGUUGACCCUUUUCCAUCUGAUGGCUUUGAGGCUGUUUCUAGGGUCUAUUAGUCAUUGCACACAGACCUCUGAGGAAAGCACCACUGAAUUCCUUGGGUGCCCAGGUUUAGGUACCUCUUAUUCCAUCCCAGGGCAGUGCCAGAGGAGGCCAUGGGCAGCGCCAGGCAUUCACACCUGUUCUCCCCUUUGGCCCUUCUGGGUCUGGGUUUUGUGAGGUGUUAAAGCUGCAGAAAUGGAAUAAUGUUGGUCUUUUCUUCAUGUGCCAUGGAAUUCAGUUAAGGCUGGUUAAGAGCUAACACUGCUUGUCCCUAUCAGUUUGAUGUCAGAUAGUGUCUGACGAUAAUGGGUCCUUCAGUCUUGGAGUCUGCUUCCUGGUGCUCUGUCCCUAGUCAGGUUAAAAACAAAAAGCAAAUUAUUCUAAGAAAGCAGCUACAGCAAUGUAAAAAUGAUAUUCCAUUGUGUCUGGUUUGUUUGUUUUUGGGCAGCUCCUGCCCUCGCUUAGCACAGCAUGGCUGCUUUCUGAGUUAAGACAUGCUCUCUUCCUCUCCUCUGAGAAGCCACCAAACGCCAGGAGUGCAGGUGUGAGCCCCACUCUGCUUCUUCCUCUCCUUGCAGUGUCACAGGGAGCUGGACAUUGGCCAGUGGGUACUAUUAGACCAGCCUCUGCCUGGCAACCUUAUUACCUCUAGAAGGAAAUGCUGAGGUGCCACAGAUCCUCAGCCUCUAGUGACCGGUACACCUUCUCUUUGCUCUUCUAUGAUGUGACAACUAUGUGCCAGCAAAGCUUUGCUUCAGCCUCUGCUUCUGUGCUGACCCCAAAAGCAAAAGCUUCACUGAUUUCCUUCCAUCUCUUCUCCCUGGCACACAGAGUAUCCAAAGUGACAUUCAUGUUAAAACUUCAAACACUGUAUGUGACAUAGUGAUGUCUUUAUCUAAUGCACAGCUUCCCUUCCCACAGAGGCAGCUUUGUUUCCAGAGAAUUCUAGGUAUAGACAAAGCCAUGGGGGCCUGGGCACACCACACACACUGUUUUGGGCUUAGGAUGGUUCAGUUAACAGUACGUUGGAAGAGCCUGCACAUCUGAACUUACAGCCACGUUAGUCUUUUCAACAUCUAUGUGAACUGUAGCCAUGUUUGAACUACGCUUUUCCCUUUUAGGGAGCAAGUAGGUUAUUUCUAGAAAUUCUGACUGUAUAUGUACAUAAGGCUAUUCUAAAUAUUUGUCUAGGGCUCAAGCAGUAGAAUACCUGCCUAGCAAGCAGGAAGCCCUGAGUUCAAACCCCAGUAUCACACAAAAACAGAAUAUUCAGUAUCUGUUUGCAUGUGUCUUCACAUAUGUGAGCAACUGUAUCUACAGAAGAAAAGUUUUCUUUAGGAGGAAUUCCGGGCACAGCAUGCCACCGGCUGCCCUUCCAGGAAUUCAAUUGACAUUCUCCCAUGCCUUUCCCAAUGGCAUGUCCUUAAACUUGGUGAUCUGUCAAUAUGAAAGGUGAAAAACAUAAUUUAAUUGUAGUUUUGGUUUGUGUUUGUAUUCUUAGUGGGGUUGUGUACUUACUCGUUUUUAAGAACUCUAUACAGGAAGGAAAUUACCAUUUGUCAUUUGUGCUGCAAAUACUUUCCCAUUCCUCACUGACCUUGAGUUGGAUGGUAUUAUUUUGCUGUUCAAUGUUUUAUUUAAUGGCUUCUGGAUUUUAGUAGUAGUUCAGGGAGGCUAAUCCAGCUCAAGAUUUUUUGGUAAAUCUCAUGUUUUGUCCUAGUUCCUUUAAGGUUUUACUUUUAUGUUAUUGAGUGAACUGGACUUUGACAUAAUGGGUGACUUUAGGACACUUAACCCGUUUUCUUUACACAUUUACUGAUGGAUACAGUUGUGGGUCUAUUCACGUGCCAGUUCCAGUGGUUUUAAAUAUUACAGUCUGUGCUUCAGUACACUAAUGAUGGCCCACUCUCAGUAUUCUACCUUUCCAGAAUUUUCCUGGCUAUUCUCGCAUGAUUACUUUACCCUUUCAUGAUUGUUCCCCUAUGCAAAAAAUCAGGUUUGUCUUUCUGUUUCUCCCAUUGGUUUAACCAACUUUGUAUUACAUGGAAGGCUGUGGUCAGCAGUUCUGGUCUUGGUCUGUCUGCCUCUACAUCUGGACUUCUUAACCUGCCUCCUGGCAGACCCCUCCUCAUACAAAUGACUGUCUCCACCAAGAGCACUUUUAUAUAUUUGGUUUUGCCUAAUGGUGGCUUGUUGUUGUCAUACUGUCAACAACAAUAUCCAAUUUAUGGUCUUUGCGGUUGAAAUGUUCCUAACAUGCUGUCCUACAAAAAAUGCUGAUAAAUUUAUACAAACUUAGCAAACUGCACCCAAGGUCACAUUCAGGGAGAGUGCAGCUGGGAGGUUCUGAACCUCUGCUUCUGCAGGGCUGGCUCCUCUCACCGGAAGUUCUGUGUACUGGAAUGUCUAAGUGAGUUCUAUUCUAGUGAGCAGCACUGGAUACCUAUGCUCAACCUUUGGUUCACCUUGUUCUCCUGCCCACAGUCUGGUAGAACUUUGGACAAAAUGUCUCGCAUGCUUUCCCGCAGAGAUUAUACAAGCUAGCAUUUGCCAUUUCUUCAGUGUCUCAAGGCCACCCUUAUAAACUCGUCCUGUGUAGCACAUAGUGUUCCUUUUGUGGGCUGCUGAAGUGGGCCUUGGUGAUCCCCUCCCUAACUACUGUCCUGGUUAGGGAUCUGUUGUCCCUUCUACUGGGCUGUUUGUGUGCCAUAAUAAGCCUUUUACCUUGCUUCUCCACCCUGAAGUGGUCUGUGUCUGCUUCAGAAAGAUGUGGGUGGGCUUUCCCUUUUUUUCAUUAAACAUGAAAACAGUCAAACACUGUUUUUCCUGACAUCCUGUUGGGAUAAGGUAGGGUGAAUUUCUCUUUCCCAGCAGUGACAUUUCUGGCCCAGAGGCUCUGAACAGUUGAAAGGCUGUGGACUCUGGUUGUCAAGUGCGCACCCUACUGGCAGGGUUUGGCCACUCUAACCAGCCAAUGACCAGUAAGUGACUCCCGCAAACUUGCAAGCCCCAUCUGUUUUACUUUCCCUGGUUUUAAGACAAAAAAACCAGCAUCUUAAGUGUUUUCGGGUUUGUUUUGUUUUGUGGUGCUGGGGAUGGAACCCAGGACCUUUCCCAUGUGUCUUAAUGUUUUAAUUUGCACUUUUGGAUUCUGAGAAGCAGAGUGAAUACUUUUGUGUUUAGCCGAUCUGCCCGUUAGCCUGUGCUUUGCCUGAAUUUUCAUUGAAAUGUGAGAACUCCUCACAGUUAGAACAUUUACCCAUAUAUGUAACAAGAUGUUUUUUAAGUUUGUAGUUUGCCUUUGAAUUUUAAGUGUCCGUUUAAUUUUAAGUGCCAGAUCUUGCUGAUGGCUUUAAACUUUGUAAUCAAAUCCAUCCAUUUUCAUUAUUAGGCUGUUAUGCCACAUUUUCUUCUAUUUCCUCUUUGACAUUAAACUUUUGACCCACUUAGAAGUUGCUUUUCUGUCCAGUAUGAGGUAAGACCCUAAUUUGGUUGCUUCGAAAUGGCCGACUGAUUUCCCCAGCACCAACUACUAAACAAUUGUACUUUGUCUGCUGAUGUGAAAUGCCGCUUGUUAAUUACUAGCUAAAUUAUGCAAUUAAGUCUGCUUCUGGACUUUAGUUUGUUUCACGAUAGCUGUCUUUCCUGGUGCUAACCCAAUAUUUUAACUCUUUGCGUGAUACUGUUUUAAUAUGUAGUGAUACAGAUCCCUGCCUUUCUUUUAAGACUUUGGAUUUUUAUUAUAAUUUCAUUACAUUUAUAAACAUUACCAUAUUGACACUUUCCACUUAGAAACUGGGCUAUUGUUCACUGACUCAUUUUUCUCUAAAUGAUGCAUAUUUGUGAAGAUUCUUCCUUGAAGCUGAGUGUUUUGUAUUAUGGUUGCAUAUAUUAUUCUAUUUAGUUAACAAUGUCUGAAAUGGGCUUCCAGGCAUGGCUCAUCUCUGAGUUCACUAAAGAAUGCUUCUGGUAGCACCUGGUGAGACCUGCUUUCCACGUGUACUUUGUACGGAACAUAAAUAGGCUGGGCUUCCCCGCUAGGGCCAGAUGUGAGGCAAAACAGCAUUUGGCUAAGAGUGAAGUCUUUCCAGUUAGCUACCGGCUCUCACCCUGGAGCUGCCUGUUACUUAACCACAUGACCAUCUUUCUGCCUCAGUUUCCCCCAUGAAGAAAGAAUAAUCAUAUAUAUUCCAUAAAAUUCAUGUCUUUAAAGUAUAAAAUGCUUUUUCUUUUUGUGUUUUUUUUAGAUAAGGUCUCACUAUGUAGCUCACUCUGGCCGGGAACUUAACUGUAGCCCACAGUGGCCUCAACUCUUGACAGUCCUGCCUCUGCUUUCUGUGUACAGGGAUUACUUAGCCUUGAAGUGUACAGUUCUGUGAUUUUUGGUAUAUUGACUACAUUGUGCAAUCACUGGCUUUUUCAUUAUCCUAAACAGAAGCUCUAUACAUUCAUAAGAUGACAACUUCCUAUCUCCCUCCCCCUAGUUCUUGCUAACCUUUGUUAUCCUUUCUGUCUAUGAAUUUACUACUGUAGGUACUUCUUGUAAUUGUAUUCUGUGUCUGACUUAUUUCAUGUAGCAUAAUAUUUUCAAGGUUCAUCCACAUCCUACCAUGCCUAUAACAAUAUCUCAUUCCUUUUAGUGGCUGAAUAAUAUUCCACUCUACCAUGUUUUGUUUCUACAGUCAUCAGUUGGGUACUUGGACUGUUUCUGCUUUUUGGCUAUGAUGAACAAUCCUGCUGUGAAGAUUUGUGUGUAAGUUUUCACGUGGACAUGUUUUCAGUUCUCUGCUAUUCCCAGGAGUAGAAUUAAUGUGUCAUAUAGGAACUCAAUAUUUAGGUUUUUUUGAGGAACUGCUAAGCUAUUUUCCAAGGCCACUGCACUGUUUUAUGUUCCUGCCAGUAACAUAUGAGGUCCAAUUUCUCCACGUUUUCCCCAACCCCAGCUAUUCUGUGACUUUGGUUAUAAUCAUCCUAGUGGCAGUUAAGUGGCUUCUCAUGUAUUUUCAUGUGCAUUCCUGUGAUCACUGAUGACAGAUAUCAUGUACUGUUAGCCAUGUGUGUAUCUCUCUCCCACUUUGUUGUAUUUUGGCAGUAUUGUGUGUUUUUACAUUCUUGAUAGUGUCCUUUGACAUCAAUUUAUGUUUUAAAAGCAACUUGAGGGGGUUGGAAGAAUGGUUCAAGUGGUAAGAAUGCCUGCCUAGCAAGCAUGAGGUCCUGAGUUCAAACCUCAGUACAGCCAAUAAAUAAAUAAAAAGCAACUUGAGGAAUUGGGAUGUAGCUCCAUGUAGAAUACUUGCCUAGGGCUCAAUCUCCAGCACUGCCAAAAAAAAAAAAAAGUUGAUUUAAUUAAAGAGAAA